CAUUAUCGAAUCCUACCAGGGAGGGAGGGAAAAUGAAUAAGGACUCAAGGCUGUCGCCGGCAACGUGCACGCCUUCCUCUUUCAUGGACCCCCCUUUCUAGUUUCCUUAUCCACCUGUGCACCCUUUGUAGGCCCUCGAAAGAGGUUCUAUGUUUAUCUAUCUACUACCCCAUGUAUGUCCAGAAUGUAUACAAACUUUACAACUUUCAGCAACGGAUCUCUUGGCUCUCGCAUCGAUGAAGAACGCAGCGAAUUGCGAUAAGUAAUGUGAAUUGCAGAUUUUCAGUGAAUCAUCGAAUCUUUGAACGCACCUUGCGCUCCUUGGUAUUCCGAGGAGCAUGCCUGUUUGAGUGUCAUCGAAUUCUCAACCGUGUCUUGAAUUAGGCAUGGCUUGGACUUGGGGGUUGCUGGCGCACGUUGUCAGCUCUCCUGAAAUGCAUUAGCGACGGUCAGCAAGCCUGACGUGCACGGCCUUUUCGACGUGAUAAUGAUCGUCGUGGGCUGGAGCGUAGGGCGAGUGGUGAAUCGCUUCUAAUCUAAACCUCAGUUACUAGUCGGUCGUGAGACUGACGAACGCGCGAGGCUUGAUCUUGAUCUUGGACCCCCAAGCCUUAGUUACUAGUCGGUCGUGAGGCUGACGAACGCAGGGCCCCUAGGUUUAGGACCAUUUGAACUCUUGACCU
rnacentral:rRNA from 1 species